GGGUGUGUUUGUCAUCUUUAAGGAGGCCAGGAAGCCCUGCUGAGACUUUCAUCUGAUACGUCUGAAGGCUUUCUGAGUUUUCCUGUCCGAUUCGAUGCCUUCUAAGCGCUCUGAUGAGCUAGAGUCUCGAUGUGGAGAGAGUCGGAUGGCAGGACCCAAGCCAGCGUGGUUUCUGCGGCAGAACUACUCUGAAAGCUCGGCGAAGUUCACAGAGGUUGCGGGAGCCCCAUAGUGCUGUGGUCGAGGUGUUUGGUUGAAUGGCCUGGUUAAAAACAUUCAGCUGGCCAAGUGGAAAAACAACCAAUGUAUCUAUCAACUCGAGCUGAUAAAAGGACGGAGGAGGAGCAGGAAGGAAGUUUUGCCUUGCGGUACCUUGGAAAGAAUCAAGCCGAAGAAACAUAUGUUGGGUGAUGAAACGUCGCCUUUUCUAGUUUGAGAAGGUUGCAUAUUUUUGCGUGCGGCUUUAAGCAUUUUUUGAGAUGAAGAUCGUGCUAAUAAAUUGCAUUUUCAAGCCAAAUAACAAUUAACUGUUUGUAAACAUUUUUAGAAUUAAAUAAUGAAAGUUUUUUCUU